rnacentral:lncRNA from 1 species
CCCCCCAUAAAAAAAAAACCCCCAAAACCCAUUUCUGAACUAUCUUAACUCUUAUACAGCUAUGAUGUCGAAGUAACUAAGAGACAUUUUUUCUUUUAAGUGAAGUAAAUGAGAGACAUGAUUACUUGUCUGUAGAAGAGUAGCCAUAUGCAGUAACUUAAUGAAUUGGCGUUUAUGGAGACAGACCAGUAAAUGUUAGUUAUAUGAGUUCGUUCUUUCGCUCUUCUUUCUCUUUAAUGUGUGUGUGCAUGUGAAGCGACAUGUAUCUAUGCCCUCGAGCACAUGUAUCAGCAGUUUUACCUAUUAGUAUUAUAUUCUGAUUCGACAAAAUAUGUGUGUUCAUUAUGACUUUUUUAACAGC